UACGUAGGGGGCAAGCGUUGUCCGGAAUCAUUGGGCGUAAAGAGCGUGUAGGCGGUCCGGUCAGUCGGUUGUGAAAGUCAAGGGCUCAACCCUUGAAUGCCGGCCGAUACUGCCGGGCUAGAGUCCGGAAGAGGUGAGUGGAAUUCCUGGUGUAGCGGUGAAAUGCGCAGAUAUCAGGAGGAACACCUGAGGUGAAGACGGGUUGCUGGGCUGACACUGACGCUGAGGCGCGAAAGCUAGGGUAGCAAACAGG
rnacentral:rRNA from 1 species